GAUGAACGCUGGCGGCGUGCCUAAUACAUGCAAGUCGAGCGAACAGAUGAGAAGCUUGCUUCUCUGAUGUUAGCGGCGGACGGGUGAGUAACACGUGGGUAACCUACCUAUAAGACUGGGAUAACUCCGGGAAACCGGGGCUAAUACCGGAUAAUAUUUUGAACCGCAUGGGUCAAUAGUGAAAGACGGUUUCGGCUGUCACUUAUAGAUGGACCCGCGCCGUAUUAGCUAGUUGGUAAGGUAACGGCUUACCAAGGCGACGAUACGUAGCCGACCUGAGAGGGUGAUCGGCCACACUGGAACUGAGACACGGUCCAGACUCCUACGGGAGGCAGCAGUAGGGAAUCUUCCGCAAUGGGCGAAAGCCUGACGGAGCAACGCCGCGUGAGUGAUGAAGGUCUUCGGAUCGUAAAACUCUGUUGUUAGGGGAGAACAAAUUUGUUAGUAACUGAACAAGUCUUGACGGUACCUAACCAGAAAGCCACGGCUAACUACGUGCCAGCCGCCGCAGUAA
rnacentral:rRNA from 1 species